rnacentral:tRNA from 1 species
GUCUAUUGUAGUUUAAUUAAAAAUAUUAAAUUGCAAGUUUAAAGAUGAUUGUUAAUAUCUAAGA